CGCAAUUUUAGCUUCGAGAAUGUGCUAUUGUAGUGUUUUCCGAAACUAAAGACAAGAAUAUUCCACUCGUUUUAUUGCCCACAUUUUCCAGCUGUCUCAACGGGACUCCUCAUGCCCGCUGAUAAUUUUAUUGGUUCAGCACUGAUCUUACAAAAUAUUUCAAACGCUAUUUUUUACUUGUUUCCAUGGCCUUGAGUCCUGCAGAUGUAUUAUGAUGAAAAAUAGGCAGUUGACAGCCGCAGGCUAGAGUUAGCUGGACCCUAAUUACACUUGGAGCAUUUCCUUCAGAACACACCUCAUUAUACCGGCCUCUGGACAGCCUCACUGUUUCUGACAGCUGCCUCUCUCUGUGUCAGGUGCUUAUUACCUGCUCUUCCUCCCUUACUUGACUUCCAGCGCCAAACAGGUGUCUCAGCCCCUGCGUCGAGUGUGUUAUACGACUGCUGUGUUUUCAUUACCCGAACCUGCUGUAGAUACGAAUCUGAAACAGAAGAUGAUUUUCAAGUUCCUUUGAUUGGAUGAACGCAGUCACAGCCUGUUUACAGACGCAUCCUCAAAAUUGCUGACUGUACUAUUGAGCUUUUCCUGAGAGGACUGUUCGGUGGACUAUAAAGUGUGACUGAGUUUGUAUUGGUGUGGGCCCCACGUGCUGACGUACCAGCCAUCAAGCAUUCAUAUUCUCUCGUCUCAGCGGGAGGCAGGCAGAGAGUGUUUUUCUGCAUCCCAGUUGCACAGCAGAAUUUCCUGUACCGCAUCUGCAAUCUGCCCUCACCUUGAUGUUGUUAGACGUGUUACCUUUGAGAGAAUGAAAGAGCGUCUUUCUGCAGAAGAGGAUGAAAGGGCGUUGGCCUCCAUCUUAGCAGCACAGAGAGACGAUCUCACCGCAGGGCACCGCAGCUCUCUGAUGCCUUCUGACAGCUCAGGACUUUCCUCAACUUUCAAGUCAUGAUACAGUAGUCAAAUAGCUCUGGGGGAGAAAGAAACCAUAAUGGGAGAGGCGAGAGAGAGAGGGAAUCUUAUCUCCUUUCUUUUUCUUUUUAGCUUAACAAGUGCUGUGAUCUAAUUACCUGGCAGAGACGUCUGGAGAUGUGAGAAGAUUCUAGAAAGACGAAAAAUAUGCACUUGGAAAUCGGUAUGGAACAAUCUCAUCUCUUUGUUUGGACUUUAUACACUCUUAGGAUGUGUUCACACGUGUAGUGUGGUUCUCUAUGUCUGGACCAAAGAAGAAAAUGAUAUAUUUUGUCCUAGUUCGCUUUGCGUUCACACUGUUAUUUUUUAACACCAAACCUAGGGAUGCCAAGGAUAGCUUAGCUGAAUAUAAGUUCACAAAUAAA